UACGUAGGGUGCGAGCGUUGUCCGGAAUUAUUGGGCGUAAAGAGCUCGUAGGCGGUGUGUCACGUCGGCCGUGAAAACCUGCGGCUUAACUGUGGGCGUGCGGUCGAUACGGGCAUCACUGGAGUUCGGCAGGGGAGACUGGAAUUCCUGGUGUAGCGGUGAAAUGCGCAGAUAUCAGGAGGAACACCGGUGGCGAAGGCGGGUCUCUGGGCCGAUACUGACGCUCAGGCACGAAAGCGUGGGGAGCAAACAGG
rnacentral:rRNA from 1 species